CUGUCUGUUGAAGACCCCCCCCCCCCCACCAAGCUGCCCACCAGAGGCCAAGCUGUACUUGGUGUUUGCCAACAUGCUGUAAUUUCCAGCCUGGUUGCUGUAGCCACAGAGGAAUUUUCAAGGACAAGAACCAGUGCUGGUAAAACUGUGGUCUCUGUGGUUUUCCAUACCGGCUCUCGGCAAGGAUUUUCAAGAAAGGAAUACCAUCUCCAAAUCAUGAUGUGCCAAUAAGCUCCAGUUAGCUGCGGCCUUUUCCCCAGGCGGUAGUCCUGCAAUCUGAAUCCAGGAGAUGCAGCUCUGAAUCCAAUAUUUCAGAAGAAUGAAGAUGAAGCAGACCCAGGAGGAACUGUCUGUUGAAGACCCCA